rnacentral:rRNA from 1 species
UGGCGGCAGGCCUCAUACAUGCAAGUCGAGCGGUCCUUCGGGACAGCGGCGAACGGGUUAGUAACGCGUGGGAACGUGCCCUUUAGUACGGAAUAGCCAUUGGAAACGAUGAUUAAUACCGUAUACGCCCCAAGGGGGAAAGAUUUAUCGCUAAAGGAUCGGCCCGCGUUAGAUUAGGUAGUUGGUAGGGUAAUGGCCUACCAAGCCGACGAUCUAUAGCUGGUUUGAGAGGAUGAUCAGCAACACUGGGACUGAGACACGGCCCAGACUUCUACGGAAGGCAGCAGUAGGGAAUCUUGGACAAUGGGCGAAAGCCUGAUCCAGCCAUGCCGCGUGAGUGAUGAAGGCCCUAGGGUUGUAAAGCUCUUUCGCCAGGGAAGAUAAUGACGGUACCUGGUAAAGAAACCCCGGCUAACUCCGUGCCAGCAGCCGCGGUAAUACGGAGGGGGUUAGCGUUGUUCGGAAUUACUGGGCGUAAAGCGUACGUAGGCGGAUCAGAAAGUAAGGGGUGAAAUCCCAGGGCUCAACUCUGGAACUGCCUCUUAAACUCCCAGUCUAGAGUUCGAGAGAGGUGAGUGGAAUUCCGAGUGUAGAGGUGAAAUUCGUAGAUAUUCGGAAGAACACCAGUGGCGAAGGCGGCUCACUGGCUCGAUACUGACGCUGAGGUGCGAAAGUGUGGGGAGCAAACAGGAUUAGAUACCCUGGUAGUCCACACCGUAAACGAUGAAUGCCAGUCGUCGGAUAGUAUACUAUUCGGUGACACACCUAACGGAUUAAGCAUUCCGGCCUGGGGAGUACGGUCGC